GUAGCACUAGUUGCGGGUGCAGGGGGUCAGAGUGACUGGAGGAGAGAAUCACCCAAAGCUCCAUCAUCCUGAAGAAGGGAGCAAGGGAAUGACUUCGCGCUUCUUGAGAUAAACAUGUUGAAGAAUCUGGAGCAGAAGAUAAAUUAAUGUCAAGAGUUUAAUUUUCAGACCCAGCCAGGGACCUAAGACGAUCAAGAAAAACGUUCUUCUCCCCAUGCUCUCAUCUAGAAGAGAAGGAAAUGGAGGCUCAGAAUGCUGAUCUGAGUUGCCUGAGAUCCCACUGCUAGAAAUUGCAGCGAGAGACUGGGACGCUGGUCCCCUCUGGUUCCAAGUCCAGAUAGAAAUGAUUGAAGUUGUGGUAAACGUAAACAAGACGGAGCCAGCAGAUAAGCAGCGGCACCCCAACAGAAGUAAGGAGUGGAGUGACAUCUGGAGGAGACAGGAAGAAAGGAGUGUGAAAGAGUUGGGAGUUUGAAAAUACUGGUAAGUCCUUCUGGUUGUGCUACGUGGGACACUGCCUCAGCACGGCUUGAUGAGCAGUGCACAGGUCAGCGCCCAGGAUCUGAACUGGCGAACCCUGGGCCGCCAUAGUGGAUCAUGUGAACUUAACCACUCGGCCACAGGACUGGACCCAACCUUUACCUUUUCAAGUAGACCAAACUCCAACCUGUAUAUUCAGGACUGGAGCGAGAACCAGGAUGGAGAAAAAUUUUAAGGACUUUGUGUAAAGAAGGUCUUGCUUCCCUCCCGAGGCCAGCGAGAGAUGGUGAAGCAAGCAAGGAUGGAGCAACACCCCAAAGCUGUGACACGCAGGCCCCACCAGCGACUGGCCUUGGGCCCCUUCACCCCCGUCACUCCCUCCACCACCUCCCCAGGCUCUCCCAGCUCCCUGGGAUCCCAGGCUCUCCAUGCCCGGCCCAGUCUGCGACCAAUGCCUGGGCUAGGCCUGGCUGGUGUCUCCUUGCCCUCUAGGCCUUUGCCUCUUCCUCCAGGGAGUCCUCCCUAAUGCCCUUCCCAGACUGAGUCCGUCUGUGCUGCAUGUGUCAUGUCUGUGAAACGUAGAGGACAUAUGGCUCCUCCAGGAGGGGCACAGGAGUCUGGGAGGGAACCAGUGGGAGGCUGGCAAGAGGAAGCAAGGAGAAGCCAGCACAGAUGCCUGAGCAACUGACUGAAGCCUUGUCGUCUCUGACCUUGGAAGUCAGGCCCUCACUCGGUUACCUGAUCUCACGGCUCAAUUUGCAACCGGAAGCACAUCAUCGGCUCAAACGAACGUUGGUUGAAUGAAUGAACUGGAGGAAAAGAACCGGGGAGGCAGAGGGGGUCUGAAAACCUCGAGUCGGGUCUGCAUCCUGCUGUGUAAAAUGAGCUCACACGCGCACUGCAGGAGAUUCCAACAGCCUGGCCUGGGGUCUCCUCUUCCAUCAGGGCUCAGCUGAGCCACCGCCUGCCCCAGGAAGCCUUCUCUCAACCCCACAGUUCACUGGGGGUGGGGGCAGGGGCACCGUGCAUAAGCUCGUUGUUGGAGGGAGUAAUGGACCAAGUCCAGAAAGUUCCAUUGCAAGAUGAUGAGAGUCAGGGAGGCAGGGUGGCCUCAUGGGCUUUGCCAUUUUCUUUUUCUUACCUUGUUAAAUUAAAAGCAAUUUUCAAAAAAGUGAAAAGAAAACUCUCUCCCAAUAAAAGGAUCUUCCAGCUGGAGUUGGGAUCCUUCCUAGGAGAGUAUCAGUAUUUUCUCUGUUCUAGGGGGAGCGCUGGAAUAUAUCCUGGGGCAGACUCUCCUUUUGUUCCGGAGGACUGUGAGCUGGUUUGGUUUGAGGUCUAUAAGAUUCUUCAUUGUUGUGGGGAGAAGUCCCAAGGAAAGCCCCAAACCAAUGAAGUGAUCCUACUGCAGAUGUUUCAGAGGGAGGUGUUGAGGGCUUUUCUUAGCGCUGUACCUUGACGUGUCUUCUUGACAGGACUAAGCCUCUGCAGGAUCAGAGCCACCAUGGAGCAGCAUGGAGACUGGGCAGAGAAAUCAGCCAGCUCUGCUCACCGGUCCGUGAGGUGCUAGUCUUCCCAGAGAAAGGGCAGCUUUUUCUAAUUUUCACGAUGUGCCAUAGAGACUAGAGUUUCUGAGAGACAGUAUACAACCCCUGAGACCAUGCCAAGAAGGACCUAGGGAUCUGAUCUGAUCUCUACCAUUUACCAGAGGAAAGACUAUGAAGAGGAAGUAAACUGAGUUUGGUUUAGAAGCGCUGGCUCCUUGAUUUUGUUGCCCAGACGUGGUAUUAAGCCUGAAUAACCCAGCCUGCAGGAAAUGUGUUGUCAGCUGUUGAGAGUGUCUUGUCUGAGCAAUGGAGGAGGGAGAUGGAGUGGGCAGACGGUAUGCUACGUGGAGGGUGGGAGUGCUCCUAAGCCGAUGGGUGCUCCCACUGCGAAUCAGCCUGGGAUAGGAAAAGAAACAGGUCCAGGAAGGGGAGAGGGCUCUCUAGAGCCAGAGAAGUUGAGCCUGGAUUUCGGGUAGGAGGACAGCAGCAAAGAUCCUUGCAAGAUGGCAGCUGUCUGAGGAUCAAGGAGAAAGAAGACCAAUAGGGGAUGACCUAUAGGAGGGUGCGGAUUAGGCACCUAGGAAGAGUGAUAGCUGGAUAUUUUUUGACCACAUUACAGUCCAUUCAGCAAUCUCCAAGCCUUCAGUGAAGUUUAUUUAGCUUUGAAGAAAUAAAGAAGAUGCCUGGACCUGCGCAUUGGGCCACCGCAGCCUGGACAAGCCGUUACACAAGAGGGGAGUUGCGGUUUGGAGAAAAAUGACUGGCUAAAGGGACGAAUGCAGGGGAACCAUCUUCAUGGGACAGAUAAGCAUUCUUUGAGGACUAUCAGAAACACUUGGCGAGGGCAACCAGAAAACCAGGACUUCAUGCAGUUGUUCAAGUCAGGAGCUUGGAUGAAGUUAGUUGGUGUUAAAGGAAAGGUUGACUCUGGAAGGCUAGAGGUGGUGGGGACAUGUGAGAUCCCCAGGGGAGAACGAAUGGCUAGAAGGGAAGGGAAUGUGGCAUUGCUGACUCCAAAGUGCCACAACACAUUUUUCUUUUAGCUCUCAAAGUGAAAAGCUGACAGUUCCAUUCCUAUAAGGGGAAGGCAUUUUGCUAGAUGGAAU
ensembl:lncRNA